rnacentral:rRNA from 1 species
AUGGAGAUGAAGAUGGUGUGGCGACAAGGAUAUAACAAAACGCCUGGUUCCUUCAGCCAAAAGUUGGCGACGUUCCUUGUUACACACGCUCCGCCCAACAAACGCUCCAAAAGCCAAAAUACAAUUCCUCAAACAAGGGCCAAAGACUACUUCCCCACAUGGAAAAGAAAUACGCACAUGGCGUUACAAUGUUGGCUACUCAUGUCUGAGUUCCUAAACCCUUGCAAAACAGAAAGAAAGGUACAUGCCAAUUUAAAACAAAAACACAAUUUUUUUAUGUUCACACGCCAAGGACACGUCGGCCGGACUGGGAUGUGUCUAUUAGCAAGAACCACAUUGCAUGGCAGUGUUGCGUGUAGUGGUGCAUGUGACCCAAAGGCCUCGUUAAAGAGGGGAGGUUGGUGCAAACCCCCUAGUGGAUAUGUCAAGUUAAAUGUUGAUGCGGCCUUUGAUUGGGAUUUGCUUCAGGGGGCGAUGGGAGCAGUCAUCCGAGAUGAUAGAGGACAUAUGGUUGUAGCUGGAAACAAGCUCAUUGAUUCCUGUUAUGAUGUACUAACUGUUGAGGCAAUGGCUCUGAAGUUUGGAUUGAAUAUGGCGCUCACAACUGGGUGCAAUAGACUGAUUGGCAACUCGGAUAAUCUGGAACUCAUGGAAAUAAUGAAUAAGGAUGGCCAAUAUGCUGGAGAUGCCGCGACCAUUGUCGAUGAUUGUUAUAAUCUGGCUUGCGAAUUUAGCUCUAUUGUCUUCGAAUUUUGCCCCAGAGAGUCGAAUGGGGUUGCACAUGAACUAGCUAGGACUGCUAGAAGUUCGCUUUGUAAUGAGUGGUUAGAUAAUGCUCCUUCUGAGCUUCUUCCCCUACUACUUAAAGAUGUAAGUCUGAUCACGAAUGAAUAA